rnacentral:rRNA from 1 species
UACGGAGGGUGCAAGCGUUAUCCGGAAUCAUUGGGUUUAAAGGGGUCCGCAGGCGGUUUGAUAAGUCAGUGGUGAAAGCCUACAGCUCAACUGUAGAACUGCCAUUGAUACUGUCAGACUUGAAUUCGAUCGAAGUGGGCGGAGUGUGACAUGUAGCGGUGAAAUGCUUAGAUAUGACAUAGAACACCAAUUGCGAAGGCAGCUGGCUACGCAUAUAUUGACACUGAGGCACGAAAGCGU